rnacentral:rRNA from 1 species
UACAGAAGGUGCAAGCGUUGUUCGGAAUUAUUGGGCGUAAAGGGCGCGUAGGCGGUGCCACAAGUCACCUGUGAAAUCUCCGGGCUUAACUCGGAGCCUGCAGGCGAAACUGUGGUGCUGGAGUGUGGGAGAGGUGCGUGGAAUUCCCGGUGUAGCGGUGAAAUGCGUAGAUAUCUGGAGGAACACCGGUGGCGAAGGCGGCAUCCUGGACCACGACUGACGCUGAGUGAGCGAAAGCCAGGGGAGCAAACGGG